UUUCAUAUUCUCACUUCAAAAACCUUGAAAUAUCUUGUUUUCAUACUUUCUCUCACUAGUUGGGCAUUCUAGAGAGAGAAAGAGAGAAUCACUCCAUUGAUUUGGAAGCUAUUGGAAGAGAAUCCAACUACAAAGGAACCCUAGGGUGAGUGAUGCACCAAGUUUGAUUUUUAGCUGCAGAAAAUGGCUAGUAAUUGUGAUUUAUGAGCUGUUUUAUUGUUUAGUAUGUUCAUUACUUUUUAGUGAUUAAGAUAGUGAACAUAGAUAGCCAUUUAAAGUGGCAAUUGAAAACUAGCUAAGAGAUAGCUUUUAGAGUUCAUAGUGUGUAAAUUAAUCUAUUGUUUAUGUUAAUGUGAUCCUAGGUUUUUAAGGAAGCACCAUCAUUCCAAUUGGAUCAUUAGGGGAAUUUGAGUCAAUUAAAAGUUCUACAAUCAAUUG
rnacentral:lncRNA from 1 species